AGUCAACAUGCCCAGGGGACGUGGAUAACCUCGGGAAACUGAGGAUAAACCGCGAUAAGUCACUACUUCUGGAAUGGGUAAUGACUCAAAUCUAUAUGGCCCCUGGAUUGGACUGCGGCCGAUCAGGCUGUUGGUGAGGUAAUGGCCCACCAAACCUGUAACCGGUACGGGCUCUGAGAGGAGGAGCCCGGAGAUGGGCACUGAGACAAGGGCCCAGGCCCUAUGGGGCGCAGCAGGCGCGAAACCUCUGCAAUAGGCGAAAGCUUGACAGGGUUACUCUGAGUGAUUUCCGUUAAGGAAAUCUUUUGGCACCUCUAAAAAUGGUGCAGAAUAAGGGGUGGGCAAGUCUGGUGUCAGCCGCCGCGGUAAUACCAGCACCCCGAGUGGUCGGGACGUUUAUUGGGCCUAAAGUAUCCGUAGCCGGUUCUACAAGUCUUCCGUUAAAUCCAACUGCUUAACAGGUGGGCUGCGGAAGAUACUAUAGAGCUAGGAGGCGGGAGAGGCAAGCGGUACUCGAUGGGUAGGGGUAAAAUCCGUUGAUCCAUUGAAGACCACCAGUGGCGAAGGCGGCUUGCCAGAACGCGCUCGACGGUGAGGGAUGAAAGCUGGGGGAGCAAACCGGAUUAGAUACCCGGGUAGUCCCAGCUGUAAACGAUGCAGACUCGGUGAUGAGUUGGCUAUAUGCCCUCUCAGUGCCGCAGGGAAGCCGUUAAGUUUGCCGCCUGGGGAGUACGGUCGCAAGACUGAAACUUAA
rnacentral:rRNA from 1 species